rnacentral:lncRNA from 1 species
CAGGAAACAGAUUCUGAGACUCAGAUUUAUGUACAGAACAGGGAAUGAAGGAGAUCGAAUUGGGCAAAGGAGAAAGAACAAAUGACAUUGCAUCUGUGAAAUGCAUUAUGGUUUUCAGCAGAGACAGUCCAGAGUGAAUCAAUGGUAACUUCUGCCACUUGUUACUCAUCUGUUGCCAAGGAGGAGACUCCGGAGAGGUUAGGAAACUAUGUGGCAUGUUCCGUCCUUCCGGGUUAUGAAUGCUGCCAAGUGAAAAUGUGGGAUGUGCUGCCAAAGACAACACAGUCUUUUAUUUGACACAGAAGAAAACAACAUUCUGAUUUCCCUGUCUUAGGAAUUAUUUCAUCUACAGUCUGGCAAGGCAUGCUUAUGGAACUCACGGCAACCUGCUCCAGGGAGAAGUGCUCAUCAUGGGGAGACACCUGGAUCCAUCCUCACUCCUGGAGGGCUGGCCUGAAUAAGAGUAAUUCUCCCAGAGCUCUGAGGGAGCCAGGCACACAGCCAAUGGGCAAAACCUUCAAGGACAGCGAUUUUCACUCAGCCCCUUGGUGGGCAGUGGGGUCUUAGACUUAGUGAAGGAACACAGACCUUGGAGUUUCUCUGUGUUUGUAUCUCAUUCUAACGCUUACUGUGUGCCUUGUGGAAGCCACAGGAUGUUUCUGACUCCCAGUUUUCUUGUCCACAGAAAGGAGGGGAAGAUUGAGCUAAGUAG